CAAUGCCCUGCAAGUCCCGCCCCCGGUCCGGCCUCCGCGACCUCCGGAGCGACGGCUGCGGGGGGCCCCGUCGGGCGGGGGCGGGGCCCCGGUGGGAUGGGCAGCCCCGCAGCAGGCAGACGGCCAGCAGGGUGGCGGCGGAGGCCAAUAGGAGCAGGACAGGCACGAUGAUCACUUCCUGUUCGUAGACCCGGACCACUGAGGGAUGGGGGGGGUGACAGGAAGUGAGGGGUUCAUUAUUAAGAGAGGCAGGCCAUGAUUGGCCGAUGAUUGUGAUGGAGAGAGAGGACUCUUCUAGGAGGGUGACUUGAGGAGGAGGAACCCCAGGAGAACACAGACCCUUCCAUCACCAGGGGCCCAGACCCAGGGCCUUCUGUCACCAGGGGCCCAGACCCAGGGCCUUCUGUCACCAGGGGCCCAGACCCAGGGGCCUUCUGUCACCAGGGGCCCAGACCCAGGGGCCUUCUGUCACCAGGGGCCCAGACCCAGGGGCCUUCUGUCACCAGGGGCCCAGACCCAGGGGCCUUCUGUCACCAGGGGCCCCAGACCCAGGGCCUUCUGUCACCAGGGGCCCAGACCCAGGGCCUUCUGUCACCAGGGGCCCAGACCCAGGGCCUUCUGUCACCAGGGGCACCAGACCCAGGGCCUUCUGUCACCAGGGACCCAGACCCAGGGGCCUUCUGUCACCAGGGGCCCAGACCCAGGGGCCUUCUGUCAACAGGGGCCCAGACCCAGGGGCCUUCUGUCACCAGGGGCCCCAGACCCAGGGGCCUUCUGUCACCAGGGGCCUUCUGUCACCAGGGGCCCCUGACCCUUCCAUCACCAGGGGCCCCAGACCCAGACCCUUCUGUCACCAGGGGCCCCAGACCCAGACCCUUCUGUCACCAGGGGCCCAGACCCAGGGCCUUCUGUCACCAGGGGCCUUCUGUCACCAGGGGCCCUCCCCCUCCUCCUCGAGGGCGCGGCGGGGGUCAGACGGCGUGGAGCCGUGACGACACAGAUAAGAUAAGAUGAGGAGACGGAGAGCGGUAAGGGCUCCGGAAGGAGGUCCAGUGUGUGCACGGCAGCGAUGGUCAUCCAGAGGAGGAGGUCGCCUCCCCGACCCUCAGAGCGCGGAUGGGUCUGCUCUCAGAACUUGUUCCCAUGGAGACGCCCAUUAGGUGUUCAGGAGAU
ensembl:lncRNA